rnacentral:rRNA from 1 species
UACGUAGGUGGCAAGCGUUGUCCGGAUUUAUUGGGUUUAAAGGGUGCGUAGGCGGUCCAUUAAGUCAGUGGUGAAAUACGGCAGCUUAACUGUCGAGGUGCCAUUGAUACUGGAGGACUUGAGUACAGACGAGGUAGGCGGAAUUGACGGUGUAGCGGUGAAAUGCUUAGAUAUCGUCAAGAACACCGAUAGCGAAGGCAGCUUACUAGACUGUAACUGACGCUGAGGCACGAAAGUGUGGGGAUCAAACAGGAUUAGAAACCCUUGUAGUCC